rnacentral:lncRNA from 1 species
GUAGUACUUGAUGUUUGAUGCCAUGUUGAACCUUUUCUUGGCCAUAAUUUUAUACACAUGUUAAGACACUCUUGAGUUGAUGACUUCUUGUUGUCUUGUUAAUUUUACACUUGUGUUUGGAGCCUCCUAAAUAUUUCUUUUGAGUAAUACAAUGCAUACCUAUUUUUGUUGGCCUUUGUUUGCUUUGCUUAUUUGUUUAGGGAAUGAACUUGUGCA